UCAGAGGGUAGCAGUUGCUGGAAGCUACUGACCUGCACAGGACUCAACCUGGCAAUGCAGAGAUAAAAUGCUGUUUCUAGAAUUAACCCUCUCAGAAGUAGCAUGUAAUGAGCGGGAUUUCCAAAAUCAUUCAGGUGGACAGUCUAUGGAAAUCAUCUUCCUUGGAAACGAAGGGAAAUUCAUCGGAUCGUCCACCUUUUUCAGAUACUGAGAGAGAAACUGAAAUGAGCAGAGUCGGAGGUAGACCGUGCACCUCUGUGGAGCGGAUCAGAAGAGCAGAAGGACCUAACGCUUGCAGACAAACCGAGAACACAAGGAGUUUACCAUUCAGGCUAAAAAUGCUUUGGAGGAUGUUGUGUCCCUCAACCAUAUUAAGAAAUCAAGAAUUUAGUCUUCCAUGACCUUUCAUGGCCGGAUGGAUUUAGUUUUGUUGAUUCUCACAAAAAAUACCAGAUUUCUUUCUGAUUGGACGUGGUUACCAGGGGUGGGGGUGAGGGGUGGAGGGAAUGUACAAUCUACCUAUAUGAAAGACCAACUAAACCUUCAUAUGGUGAUGUUUGUUCUCGGCUCCGCUACUGAUGUGCCGUAUAACCUUUGGCGAAUCACUUUACAGAGUGGCUCCGGUGUUUCCCCUUCUGUCUUUUGUAGUCCCCAUUUUGACUGCAAACCCUUUGGUGCAAGGUUUAUCAUGUAUGUGUGCAGUGCUGAGAACAAAGCAACCCGAUAUUAGAUGGGUCCCUUCAGGUACAACUAAAAUACAAACAUUUCCCAAUAAUUAUUAUGAAUCCCUUGGGGAGAUAAUUUUUUCCUGCUCAAUACUGGAGCUCAGUGUAUAUGCGAAUAUUCAUUGUUAACAGUAUAUUUUUUAUUAACAUUAUUUUCUGAUCCUAAAUCCUCAUUCUGACCCGCUGUAUCUUUUUCUCGCACCUUUACAUGAUAUGGAAGUGAAGAGAAGAAGAAUAAAAGAAGAUCACGUGUUGCUGCAUGAAAGCCUAGGGCCAAAUCACAAGCAGGAGUCACGCCCUGAUCCCACCAGCUGAGAACAUAGGUUUUUUGUUUGCAAGGGCCUCGCACUGAUUUCCUCUCCGAUCACCUCGAAUACAAAAACUCUUAAAAUGAGCUCACAGAGUUUAGCCUCGCAUUAGCCAAUAUAUUGCUAAAUAUCCCUUUCUAUAUAAUGUUUAACCCUAUAUUUUCACCUGGCAACCUAUCUUCUGAAUGCCUUCAUUUUUGGAGUGCAUAGUAGUGGAGGAAGCACUUAGACAUAAGGCAGACUACAAAGAUGUAUUUCAAAACCCCGCGUCUUACUGACAAAAACAGCACAUGAACCCCCAUAUAAAUGGUGUGAAACAUUUUCUUAAAAAUCAAUCAGCCUCUAUUAUUCAGUUUAAGCCCGAUCUCAUUGUCUACUUCUUCCUCUGGAGGCCGAUUUCUGCCAGGUAGAAAAUUAAG